UGCUGCUGAGAGAGAGAGAGAACGAGAUGGCAGUAGGCCUCUCAUCGAAAAAUCAACGUGUUUGUCGGUUGCCUGUCAGCAGUACAAUAUAAAGGAAGCUGUAAAUUAACGAGAUCGAUUUAAAAAGAGAGCAAGUUUAUUUCGAAAGUACGGCAGCACAAGGAAUUCAUUAAAGAGCGUGGCUUUACUAUGGAUAGGCAAAAUGAUCGUUUUGAGCGAGUUAAUACUUAUAUUUAUAUGGAUAUUCAUGUAUUUCCCAUACGUAAUAUACGCGGUGUAGAGUAUGGAUGCCAUUUAGUGAUUUAUUAUUAAUCAACUAUUCAGAUGCAUUUGUAAAACUGGGAUGGAAAGGGAUGAUUUGGAUUGGAAUAUCUUAGACAGAAGCGAAGCUGGUUUGUUUUUGUUCAAUAAUUUAAAAC
rnacentral:sRNA from 1 species